AUAUCAAUAAGCGGAGGAAAAGAAACUAACAAGGAUUCCCCUUAGUAACGGCGAGUGAAGCGGGAAAAGCUCAAGCUUAAAAUCUCCAUAGCUUUUGUUAUGGCGAAUUGUAGUCUAUUGAAGAUGUUGUCAGCAACAUGUCUUUGGAAAAGUCCCUUUGAAAAGGGCAGCAUAGAGGGUGAAACUCCCGUCUUGCCAAGACAAUGUCAGCGUACGG
rnacentral:rRNA from 1 species